GUAAUUCAUAGAUAUUUAUAAUAGAAAUGAUUAAUGAUUGAAUUGCAUUAAUUCAGUUUGUAUUUGAAGUUUGAAUAUUUUUUGUAUGAAGAUGAAAAACGCAGAGAAAAUUCUUCUGAUUGUGAUGUGUAUCACACUUGUUUCCAUCAAAGGUAAACCAUUAAACGGUGUGAAUACUGAUAAUAUCAUACCAGGGAAAUCACUACAAUUCCUCAACACAGGAGGGGCUUUUGCUGCUAAAGCUGCACCACCUCACCCAAAAAUUACUGGGCUGGUCUUUCCUGUGCCAUGUUCAGUCACUAGAUUCAUUCCACUGCCUUGCACAAAAUCCACUGAUCACAAUCCUCAGAUAACUGAAUUCUGUACCUGCAAGGUGCAAAAAUAGCACAAUUUGCUUCCAUAAUGAUUAUAGCUAUAUGCUACAGCCAUAUAUUCUAUUGAUGGCGAUGUUAGAAAUCAUAUCAUACUUUCAUAAUGAUUAUAGCUAUAUGCUACAGCUAUAUAUUCUAUUGAUGGCGAUGUUAUAAAUCAUAUCGUACUGAAAUAAAUGAAUCUGCUCCUCUAGCAUGAAACUCUUGUUUCUUUGCCAUGAUUAAUUUUUUGCAGUUUGCAAAGUGUUUUCCAGUUAUUUAAUAUGGAUUAUAUGAUUUCAUCA